rnacentral:rRNA from 1 species
GCUUAGCCCUAAACAUAGACACUCAAUUAACAAGACUGUUCGCCAGAGGACUACUAGCUACUGCUUAAAACUCAAAGGACUUGGCGGUGCUUUACAUCCCUCUAGAGGAGCCUGUUCUAUAAUCGAUAAACCCCGUUAAACCUCACCACUCUUUGCAAUAUCAGCCUAUAUACCGCCAUCUUCAGCAAACCCUAACAAGGCACUAUAGUAAGCACAAUAAUUUUACAUAAAAACGUUAGGUCAAGGUGUAGCCUAUAGAGUGGAAAGAAAUGGGCUACAUUUUCUAAUUUCCUAGAAUAUACACGAUAGCAAUCAUGAAAUAUGAUUAAGCCCAAGGCGGAUUUAGUAGUAAGUUAGGAAUAGAGUGCCUAACUGAACUGGGCAAUAAAGC